UACGUAGGCACCAAGCGUUGUCCGGAUUUAUUGGGCGUAAAGAGCUCGUAGGCGGUUCGGUAAGUCGGGUGUGAAAACUCUGGGCUCAACCCCAGAGCCGCCACCCGAUACUGCUGUGACUCGAGUGCGGUAGGGGAGCGGGGAAUUCCCGGUGUAGCGGUGAAAUGCGCAGAUAUCGGGAAGAACACCCGCGGCUAAGGCGGCUCUCUAGUACGGUACUGACGCUGAGACGCGGAAAGCGUGGGGAGCGAACAGG
rnacentral:rRNA from 1 species